AAUUGUGCAUUUUUAAGUGAAAUUACAACUAUUAAAAAAUAUCAUUAAAUAUCAACUAUGUCUUUCAAAUUGUUGCGAAUAUUUUCCUAGCUUAAUAAUGUGGAUCCAUCAAAUAUAUAUAAAGCCUUUUAUAGGUUCUUGUAAUGAUAAUUAAUUAAUGGUAAAGAUGCUUACAACAGGACUUAAAAUCUUGAAACAAAAAUAAAU